ACAGCGUCGUGACACCUGCGUUCGCGAAAUUAUCUAAAAAACAAUGUCGUACAUCCAUAAUAGAGUAUACAGUGCUGUCCAAACAACACAGACCUUCAAUUCCACCAUCUGCAAGUCUGUGGCAAUUUUACCAGCUGUUUUAAUACUUUGAAGGAAAUAUUCAAAAUGAAGUGUAAUUGCAUGAUAGAAAAAUUUUAGCGUAUUUUUAAUUCUGAAGUUUAUUUUGCGAGAUUUAUUUUUUAAAAUAAAACAUCGUCUCGUUUGUCUAGUAGUGACGCACUAAAAUUGUAAACCGUGAAAUUAUAAGUUUGGCUCUUAACCUAGGCAAAUAACAAUAUUAUACAUUUUUUCCAAAAAAUAAACCUGAAUUGCCGGACAUGGCAAUUGUGCUUGAAAUGCGCUCUUACCAAACACUAACUGGGACUAAAUGUGUUGGGCGAAAAGUGCAAAUAAAGUGAUGUGAUGUCUACCCCGUCGGAUAUAAAAAGCUGUGCCUCUUGGCAGUCUUUGUCCAUCCUACAUUGUUGUAAGAUGAGAAGAUGUACUAAAGAUGAUAGCUGCACCAAACAGGAGAAGGGUUACGCAAGAUAUAAAUAAGUACAAUUGAUGACCAAGAGUCGGAAGUGAAGAGAAAAGUGGGGGCAACAACGCCCAAGGGGAGGAAAACUAAAGACAAAAUGUGUAGUUUAAUGACUAUCGCGGCAAUGGUGGGUACUGUGUUUUUUUUUUUCAAAUAUCUAUGUCCAGCUGUCAAUAUAUAUUGUGUACCAUGACCGAACAGAUUAUGAUAAUGAUGAUAAUGAUGAUGAUGAUAUAUGAAAAUCUGCUCUGAUAAUAAUAUAAUAAACAUUUCGGUAGGUACAAAGUGCCUCACAUACGAGAGUCGGUCAAAAUAAAAAAAUAAAAUCCAUCCCUCCCUUAAAACUCUUAAAUGAAGAUCCUAACACCGAACCAUAAUAUCAUCGCUAAUAGAAUAAAUUUAGCGUAACGGUAUUAUUAAACAAAG